AAUUUUGGAUACUAUCUGGUGCG
rnacentral:misc_RNA from 1 species